CAGCCGCCGCGGUAAUACCGGCGGCCCGAGUGGCGGUCACUAUUAUUGGGCUUAAAGCGUCCGUAGCCGGGUUGGGAAGUCCUCCGGGAAAUCUGGCCGCUUAACGGUCAGAAUGCCGGAGGAUACUCCCAGCCUAGGGAGCGGGAGAGGCCGAGGGUAUUCCCGGAGUAGGGGUGAAAUCCUAUAAUCCCGCGAGGGCCACCUGUGGCGAAGGCGCUCGGCUGGAACGCGUCCGACGGUGAGGGACGAAGGCCAGGGGAGCAAACCGGAUUAGAUACCCGGGUAGUCCUGGCUGUAAACGAUGCGGACUUUGUGUCGGACAAGCUAUGAGCUUGUCCGGUGCCGGAGGGAAACCGUUAAGUCCGCCGCCUGGGGAGUACGGCCGCAAGGCUGAAACUUAAAGGAAUUGGCGGG
rnacentral:rRNA from 1 species